rnacentral:rRNA from 1 species
GUGGGGAAUCUUCCGCAAUGGACGAAAGUCUGACGGAGCGACGCCGCGUGAGUGAAGAAGGCCUUCGGGUCGUAAAGCUCUGUCAUCAGGGACGAACGGCCGGUGGAGUGGAAAGCCACCGGAUUGACGGUACCUGAGAAGGAAGCCACGGCUAACUACGUGCCAGCAGCCGCGGUAAUACGUAGGUGGCAAGCGUUGUCCGGAAUUAUUGGGCGUAAAGCGCGCGCAGGUGGGAUCUUAAGUCCAUUUUUAAAGUUCGGAGCUCAACUCCGUGAUGGGAUGGAAACUGGGAUUCUUGAGUACCGGAGAGGAAAGCGGAAUUCCCCGUGUAGCGGUGAAAUGCGUAGAUAUUAGGAAGAACACCAGUGGCGAAGGCGACUUUCUGGACGAAAACUGACGCUGAGGCGCGAAAGCCAGGGGAGCGAACGGGAUUAGAUACCCGUGUAGUCC